AUUGAACGCUGGCGGCAUGCCUUACACAUGCAAGUCGAACGGCAGCACGGGUGCUUGCACCUGGUGGCGAGUGGCGAACGGGUGAGUAAUACAUCGGAACGUACCUUAUCGUGGGGGAUAACGCAGCGAAAGCUGUGCUAAUACCGCAUACGCCCUGAGGGGGAAAGCGGGGGAUCGAAAGACCUCGCGCGAUUAGAGCGGCCGAUGCCUGAUUAGCUUGUUGGUGGGGUAAAAGCCCACCAAGGCGACGAUCAGUAGCUGGCCUGAGAGGACGAUCAGCCACACUGGGACUGAGACACGGCCCAGACUCCUACGGGAGGCAGCAGUGGGGAAUUUUGGACAAUGGGGGCAACCCUGAUCCAGCCAUUCCGCGUGAGUGAAGAAGGCCUUCGGGUUGUAAAGCUCUUUUGUCCGGGAAGAAACGGUUUCAGCUAAUACCUGAGACUACUGACGGUACCGGAAGAAUAAGGACCGGCUAACUACGUGCCAGCCGCCGCCGUAA
rnacentral:rRNA from 1 species